ACAAUGGGGGAAACCCUGAUCCAGCAAUGCCGCGUGCGUGAAGAAGGCCUGCGGGUUGUAAAGCACUUUCGGUUGGGAGGACUGCUUCUAGCACUAAUAUUGUUGGAAGUUGACGUUACCUUCAGAAGAAACCCCGGCUAACUCCGUGCCAGCAGCCGCGGUAAUACGGAGGGGGUUAGCGUUGUUCGGAAUUACUGGGCGUAAAGCGCGCGUAGGCGGGCUAUUAAGUCAGGGGUGAAAUCCCGGGGCGCAACCCCGGAACUGCCUUCAAAACGCCUGGUCUUGAGGUCGGGAGAGGUGAGUGGAAUUCCGAGUGUAGAGGUGAAAUUCGUAGAUAUUCGGAGGAACACCAGUGGCGAAGGCGGCUCACUGGCUCGAUACUGACGCUGAGGUGCGAAAGCGUGGGGAGCAAACAGGAUUAGAUACCCCAGUAGUC
rnacentral:rRNA from 1 species